rnacentral:rRNA from 1 species
UACGGAGGGAGCGAGCGUUGUUCGGAAUUACUGGGCGUAAAGCGUGCGCAGGCGGAUUGCCAAGUCAGAAGUGAAAUCCCAGGGCUCAACCUUGGAAUUGCUUUUGAAACUGGUAAUCUAGAGUAUCGGAGAGGUUGGCGGAAUUCCCAGUGUAGAGGUGAAAUUCGUAGAUAUUGGGAGGAACACCAGUGGCGUAAGCGGCCAACUAGACGAUUACUGACGCUCAGGCACGAAAGUGUGGGGAUCAAACAGG